CCCAAAUUUUUUCUUAGAAGCUAUAAUGUACUAAAUUUACUCACCUGUUCCUUGAAUCUUUGCUUCUUAUUCAAAUCUAAGAUCAAAUACCAUGAUUAUUGCUAAACACCUAACUGUUUCCAUUUGCUGUUGAUAUAAUUGUUUUCCUAGGUUUCAGAUAUCUACUUUGGCAACAAAGCUUGGCGUUAGAAACAUUGCAUUCCUUGGUUCUGGGCUUUUGUUGUUAAAUUAUAUUGUUGCUAUAUUGGCUGCAGUUUUCAUGCCCCAGGUACUUGCAACUCGAGCUGCAAAAAAUGGCAAAAACCCCGGCAGCUGCCAAAAGCAGGGCAGGACUUGCUAGGCAGAACAGAUUGAGAGGUACAUUUGUUGUUUCAUAAAUAGA